CUCAGAGUGAACGCUGGCGGUAGGCCUAACACAUGCAAGUCGAACGGCAGCACAGUAAGAGCUUGCUCUUAUGGGUGGCGAGUGGCGGACGGGUGAGGAAUACAUCGGAAUCUACCUUUUCGUGGGGGAUAACGUAGGGAAACUUACGCUAAUACCGCAUACGACCUUCGGGUGAAAGCAGGGGACCUUCGGGCCUUGCGCGGAUAGAUGAGCCGAUGUCGGAUUAGCUAGUUGGCGGGGUAAAGGCCCACCAAGGCGACGAUCCGUAGCUGGUCUGAGAGGAUGAUCAGCCACACUGGAACUGAGACACGGUCCAGACUCCUACGGGAGGCAGCAGUGGGGAAUAUUGGACAAUGGGCGCAAGCCUGAUCCAGCCAUACCGCGUGGGUGAAGAAGGCCUUCGGGUUGUAAAGCCCUUUUGUUGGGAAAGAAAAGCAGUCGAUUAAUACUCGGUUGUUCUGACGGUACCCAAAGAAUAAGCACCGGCUAACUUCGUGCCAGCAGCCGCGGUAAUACGAAGGGUGCAAGCGUUACUCGGAAUUACUGGGCGUAAAGCGUGCGUAGGUGGUUGUUUAAGUCUGUUGUGAAAGCCCUGGGCUCAACCUGGGAAUUGCAGUGGAUACUGGACGACUAGAGUGUGGUAGAGGGUAGUGGAAUUCCCGGUGUAGCAGUGAAAUGCGUAGAGAUCGGGAGGAACAUCCAUGGCGAAGGCAGCUAC
rnacentral:rRNA from 1 species